AUUGAACGCUGGCGGCAUGCCUUACACAUGCAAGUCGAACGGUAACAGGUCUUCGGAUGCUGACGAGUGGAGAACGGGUGAGUAAUACAUCGGAGCGUGCCCGAUCGUGGGGGAUAACGCAGCGAAAGCUGUGCUAAUACCGCAUACGAUCUACGGAUGACAGCGGGGGAUCUUGGGACCUCGCGCGGACGGAGCGGCCGAUGGCAGAUUAGGUAGUUGGUGGGGUCAAGGCUAACCAAGCCUGCAAUCGGUAGCUGGUCUGAGAGGACGACCAGCCACACUGGGACUGAGGCACGGCCCAGACUCCGACGGGAGGCAGCAGUGGGGAAUUUUGGACAAUGGGCGCAAGCCUGAUCCAGCCAUGCCGCGUGCAGGAUGAAGGCCUUCGGGUUGUAAACUGCUUUUGUACGGAACGAAAAGUCUCUUUCUAAUAAAGAGGGAUCAUGACGGUACCGUAAGAAUAAGCACCGGCUAACUACGUGCCAGCCGCCGCAGUAA
rnacentral:rRNA from 1 species